AUUGAACGCUGGCGGCAUGCUUUACACAUGCAAGUCGAACGGUAACAGGCCGCAAGGUGCUGACGAGUGGCGAACGGGUGAGUAAUGCAUCGGAACGUGCCCAGUCGUGGGGGAUAACGCAGCGAAAGCUGCGCUAAUACCGCAUACGAUCUAUGGAUGAAAGCGGGGGACCGUAAGGCCUCGCGCGAUUGGAGCGGCCGAUGUCAGAUUAGGUAGUUGGUGGGGUAAAGGCUCACCAAGCCAACGAUCUGUAGCUGGUCUGAGAGGACGACCAGCCCCACUGGGACUGAGACACGGCCCAGACUCCUACGGGAGGCAGCAGUGGGGAAUUUUGGACAAUGGGCGCAAGCCUGAUCCAGCAAUGCCGCGUGCGGGAAGAAGGCCUUCGGGUUGUAAACUGCUUUUGUACGGAACGAAACGGUCCUGGUUAAUACCCGGGGCUAAUGACGGUACCGUAAGAAUAAGCACCGGCUAACUACGUGCCAGCCGCCGCAGUAAAAC
rnacentral:rRNA from 1 species